AGCCUGAUGCAGCCAUGCCGCGUGUGUGAAGAAGGCCUUCGGGUUGUAAAGCACUUUCAGCGAGGAGGAAAGGUUAGCGGUUAAUACCCGCUGGCUGUGACGUUACUCGCAGAAGAAGCACCGGCUAACUCCGUGCCAGCAGCCGCGGUAAUACGGAGGGUGCGAGCGUUAAUCGGAAUUACUGGGCGUAAAGCGCAUGCAGGCGGCCAAGUCAGUCAGAUGUGAAAGCCCCGGGCUUAACCUGGGAAUUGCAUUUGAUACUGCUUGGCUAGAGUCCUUGAGAGGGGGGUAGAAUUUCAGGUGUAGCGGUGAAAUGCGUAGAGAUCUGAAGGAAUACCAGUGGCGAAGGCGGCCCCCUGGCAAGAGACUGACGCUCAGAUGCGAAAGCGUGGGGAGCAAACAGGAUUAGAUACCCUGGUAGUCCACGCCGUAAACGAUGUCUAUUAGGAGUCUGUGGCCUUGAGGCUGUGGGUUCCAAAGCUAACGCAUUAAAUAGACCGCCU
rnacentral:rRNA from 1 species